GUGCGCGCGUUGGUUCUGGCGCACACGCCUCAUCCAUCACUCUCCGUGACAUUAGCACGACAAAGACGCUUCAAUCAAACAGGCCCAUCAAUCUGAUAUCAGCGCGGAUCUGUCAGAGCAAAGAGAGGGCCGCAGAAUAAAAGAGGAUCUGUGAGAUGGUCUGCACACCUCCUCCCAGCAACAUGCUCCCAUAACACAUCUGAGAAACCAAAAAUGAGAAAGGAUGGAGUAAAUCGUUCUGGGGACUCAGAGGUUCAUAUUGAUCUAACAACCAUCACAAGGAAGCUUAAGGACAAAGGCCUCCCUGAAGGGUAUGACAGCAAACGCGCUGCCGUCCUGCCACCAGGACAAAAUUAGGACAAGCAUGUGGGCGAGUGACAAGAAGGGUGGUUAAUCAUCAGUGUGCUCUGAAAGAAGAGAGGCAGGCUGAGUGGGCAGGAGAGCUGCAAGAACAGACUUGAAUAAGAAGAAGAUUAAAUGACACUUAUCUUCCUGUGUAAGUGGUGAAGGUACAGCAGGGCAUAGAGCUCAUGGGGUCAGACGUUUUACAUUUAUGCAGAAAUUCUAUUGAAGUGUGUUUUGGAUUUGGGUAGUUGGGAAGAGUUGAUAUGUAAUGAAGUUUCAUCACUCUCAUGUGAGCAGUAUAAAUCAUCAGUAUGAUAACAUCUGACCAAGGAACAUGUUAUCCACCCUAUAAGCCAUUUGAUACGUGCCAUGGGAUGAUGCUCAGAAGUAGCACCAUUCCGACAUUUCAGGAGGCACUAAAAAAUUGCAUAACAAAAUAACGCUGAUGGCACAUUUACAUGCAAAGCUUAAUGGCAAGAGCUUACUUGAGUGGCUCAGUAUCAGUCUUACAUCGACCCUCAAAGUCCAUUUAAAAUGCAAUGUUUUGUAAUAUAAAACAAUCUGUCUGAUAAAUUAGUUUAAAAAUUGUUUUCACAUUAAAGGCUGAAAUAACCUGGUUACAUAAGUAUGCACCCUGGUAAACCAAGAGCUUGUUGAAGCACAUUCUGAUUCAGCUUCAGCAUUCAGUUUUAAUAGGUUCACACCAAUCAACUUUAGUAAAUCUAAUGAAACUGACAUAAUUCAACUGUCCAAGUGGUAUUUGCUUAUUUCCAUCCUUUAGCUUAAAUCACAGUUUGCAGAUAGGUAACAAAGAAUCACACUAAAAAAAGGUAUCAGUCACAACAUAUUUUAUGUCAAAGAAGAAAUCCAGAUCUGGCUAAAAUCUCCUAAAACCCUUUGGCAGACUCUAUUAUGGUCUGAUAAAACCAAACUUUUGGGCCUUCCAAAAGGUAUGUCUAACACAAAAAUAUUAAAAUGAAUGCCGUACUCACAGUGAAAGCAUGACGCUGUGGAGUUACUCUUUUCGGAUAGAACAUAUUUUUAUGACAAGAUGCUCUAAUAUGGUUCCAAAUACAUGUCAUUUUUGUCCAUAAACCUUAUUUUUUUCUGCUUUAAGACGAAAGACGAAAAUAUUUUUUAAGCAUUAAACUGAGUCCCAAAAAAUACAUCAACAAUCAACAAAUCAAUAGCUUCAUGAAGUUUUGGAGUCAGAGUGUAUAAUUAAAUCUGGUAGAAGAUCUGUUGGUGCUCCUGCAGAGCUCUGGACAAGAGGUGUCUUUUAAAUCUUAGAGAUUUGGAGAGCAUUUGCAAGGUAGAGUGUGUAAAUAUUGUCAAGUCAAGAUGUGGAAUCCUGACAAACAGAAGAAGGCAGAAUACUGAAACUUAAUCAAAAGACGGUUCAACAAAGUUUAAGGUUGUGCACACUUCUGCAACUAGGUUCUCUUUUCUCUGACAGGUGUUUGUUUUUCAA